CCCUUAGAUGUUCUGGGCUGCACGCGCGCUACACUGAUGCGCUCAACGAGUUUUAACCUUGCCUGGAAAGGUUGGGUAAUCUUUUUAAAACGCAUCGUGAUGGGGAUAGAUUAUUGCAAUUAUUAAUCUUCAACGAGGAAUUCCUAGUAAGCGCAAGUCAUCAGCUUGUGCUGAUUACGUCCCUGCAAAAUGUACACACCGCCCGUCGCUAUUGCCGAUUGAGUGCUCAGGUGAACCUUCUUGAUUGCUGCAAAGUGAAAAAUUAAGUAAACCUUAGCACUUAGAGGGAAUAAAAGUCGUAACA
rnacentral:rRNA from 1 species